AUUGAACGCUGGCGGCGUGCUUAACACAUGCAAGUCGAGCGAGUGGCGGACGGGUGAGUAAUGUCUGGGAAACUGCCCGAUGGAGGGGGAUAACUACUGGACACAGUAGCUAAUACCGCAUACCAUCGGAUGUGCCCAGAUGGGAUGAGCUAGUAGGUGGGGUAACGGCUCACCUAGGCGACGAUCCCUAGCUGGUCUGAGAGGAUGCCCAGCCACUCUGGAACUCAGACCCUGUCCAGACUCCUACGGGAGGCAGCAGUGGGGAAUAUUGCACAAUGGGCGCAAGCGUGAUGCAGCCCUGCCGCGUAUAUGAAGAAGGCCUUCGGGUUGUAAAGUACUUUCAGCGAGGAGGCGUUACUCGCAGAAGAAGCACCGGCUAACUCCGUGCCAGCAGCCGCGGUAAUAC
rnacentral:rRNA from 1 species